AGUGAGUGAGCCCGGAAGAUUGAGCCGCAUAAGUGCCUUUUGGGACAUUAACACGCUAAUCGUGUGCUCUAGGAUUUGCCUGAAAGUGCAGGUUAAAAAACUUUCCUGUAGUCACCGAGCACCUUCCAAUAACGAUUCUUUCCUAUCGGUCAGAAAACCGCUCCAAAACGUGGUCCAGACAAGGCUAAAGGAAGGAGGCUCCCAACCGGUAUCUUGGAAGGUAAAGACGUCCAGAAAGGUCUACAAAAACGAGCUGCCAAGAAGACGGUGCGAACCCUGACACUUGCAAGGCCACGAAUCCAAUUCGACGGUAGGCGGAGGCAUCAGUCGGGAAUAAACGGGACAGAGCCACACAUCCACGUGUGGCUCUUUGUUGGUAUUUUCGUUUUUGGAUGCUGAACCAACAUCUACGUAUCCCAUUUGGCUCCUGGACUCAAACCGAAUUGCUGAGAAGAGAAGCGGUAGUCUUUAGAGGUCCCGGGUGGCGCCAGGG